rnacentral:misc_RNA from 1 species
UAUAUGAUAAUCCUCUUUUUCAAUCAAAACUGUGAUUGACUCAAUACUGCAAUUGAUUAUACUUGUUGCCAUGUAUGAAAAAGCAUAAUAUACAUUGUGUAUACUGUAAACACAAAUAUUUUUGGGUUUCACCCCCAGCAUACAGUGCUUAAAAGCUUUGAAGUAUUUUUCUUUGUUGCAUAUGAAUUUCUAAAGUAUUUUUAUUUUACUUUUGAAAAUCCAUAUAGAUCUGAAUGAGAAGUUUUGUUGAUGAAUGUCACCUGAUAGUGCUAUUUUAUAUAUACUGUAUCUCAUGUUGUUUUUUCUGUUGUUCGUUUUGUUUUUGGUUACUUCUGGUUUUAUGGGAUUUUUAUGUUGUUGUGUUACCUUUUAGUCACUUUAUUAUCCAGCUUUUAAAAGAUAUACAACAAUCAGGGCACAGUGUGUCCAUGUUCUGUCAAUGAAAAUAAAACGGACUUAACAGGGUUAAUUUUAAUGUAAUAGAUCUUAACCAAAAACAAGUUUUGAAGCACACAUUGUUAAGAAUUAUGUUAAAGAUAUAUUUCUUGUUUAAGAUUUUCAGGUUUUACUCCUACUAGAAAUCUGAUUGCUCAUUCACAGAAAAAUAUAAAAUUGCAAUGCAGAACGAGAACAUUGUCACUUUGAGUAAAGUGCUUUUGAUUUAGUGGUAGGGUAUAUGCUGGGGUAUUUCUGGUCCCAAUAUUUACUUAAGGAUAAGUAUAGAGUCCUUUAAUCAUGCAUGCAUUGAAUUCCUUCUUGUAUAGUUUAGAACAUUUAUUUAAUUAUUGAUUUUUCCAGUACCAAAAUCCAAUGUGAUCUUUUUUUGAAUGGAACUAUUUAUUUAUUACAAUAUUACUCUUUUUAUGCAAUAUAUAAAACUUUACAUCUUCAUGUUAUACAGUAUAUUAUGUGUUAUUGAACAAAGAUUCAGGGGUGCAUUUUAAAAGACCCGAUACAAUUAAAAUAAUUUAUAGCCUGAGAAAGGACUCUGUAUGUUGAUUUUAUUGGUACAUGUAUUGAAUUGAAAUAAGUGAUGGGUACUGUAGUAUUUUAUUUAAAUGAACACAAGUUCUUUAUUUGAAAUGAUGUCCAGUUAAUGAUCAAUAAUUGGUUAGAUCUUGUCAUACACACAGUACUGUCUCUGUCUACACACAUUUCUUUGGUCUGGUGGUUUUCAGAACAUAUGCCACUCAUGAUUUUGUUGAAAUAAAUUACUGCCUUGAAGCC